UACGUAGGGUGCAAGCGUUGUCCGGAAUUAUUGGGCGUAAAGAGCGUGUAGGCGGCCCGAUUAGUCCGCUGUGAAAGUCCAGGGCUCAACCCUGGAAUGCCGGUGGAUACUGUCGGGCUAGAGUCCGGAAGGGGCGAGUGGAAUUCCUGGUGUAGCGGUGAAAUGCGCAGAUAUCAGGAGGAACACCAAUGGCGAAGGCAGCUCGCUGGGACGUGACUGGCGCUGAGACGCGAAAGCGUGGGGAGCAAACAGG
rnacentral:rRNA from 1 species